rnacentral:tRNA from 5 species
UGGGGUAUAGCCAAGCGGUAAGGCAUCGGAUUUUGAUUCCGUGACCGGAGGUUCGAAUCCUCCUACCCCAGCCA